rnacentral:rRNA from 1 species
UACGAAGGGUGCAAGCGUUAAUCGGAAUUACUGGGCGUAAAGGGUGCGUAGGCGGUUCGUUAAGUCUGUCGUGAAAUCCCCGGGCUCAACCUGGGAAUGGCGAUGGAUACUGGCGAGCUAGAGUGCGUCAGAGGAUGGUGGAAUUCCCGGUGUAGCGGUGAAAUGCGUAGAGAUCGGGAGGAACAUCAGUGGCGAAGGCGGCCAUCUGGGACAACACUGACGCUGAAGCACGAAAGCGUGGGGAGCAAACAGG